AUGCUAGAGGAUCCCUGGAGGAAGUUCACCCUGGGCUGUCAAGGUCUUAGCAGUGUGAGGAUAGAGAAGCUCAUAUUUGGACCAGGGACGACUCUCACAGUUGUAACAAACAUUUCAAAAAAUUCUGACCCUCAAGUCAUUGUGAUGAAAUCAAAGACACUGGAAGGAGAUGGCAGCACUGGGAAAGCAGCUUGUUUGGCAAGGAACUCCCCUACAAAGAACAUCAGCUUGGAGAUGCCCUCUCAGGAGGUCGUCUAUGAACAGGGCACAUCCAUUUUGACAUCAGAGGGGUUGUACAAUGCAAUUAAAGUGGUCAGGCUGACAAAAGACACGGAGGUGACCUGCAUGGCCAAAUUCAACAACCGCACGAUAACAGCACAGCCAGAAGAGGAGCCUGAAGAACCAGUAACAGGGUUUGGGGAACCAAACAGAACCAGGACAGUGUCAGAGGCCAGUGACAGGAUUUGCAACAGCACAGCCCCCUCAGCACAAGACCCUGAAGGGCAGAGAGUGAACAUGCUGUCCAUGGCUGUGCUGGGUUUGAGAGUCCUGCUGGCAAAGAGCAUCGCCUUCAACGCCCUCAUGAGUAUCAAGCUGUUUCUUUCCUGA